rnacentral:rRNA from 1 species
GACAGAGGUGCCGAGCGUUAGGCGGAAUCACUGGGCUUAAAGCGUGUGUAGGCGGGUGCCUAAGUACCUUGUGAAAUCCCACGGCUCAACCGUGGAACUGCUUGGUAUACUGGGUAUCUUGAGCCACUUAGGGGCAACCGGAACAAACGGUGGAGCGGUGAAAUGCGUAGAUAUCGGAAGGAACGCCGGUGGCGAAAGCGACGUGCUGGACCUCUUCUGACGCUGAGGCGCGAAAGCCAGGGGAGCAAACGGG